ensembl:lncRNA CRNDE colorectal neoplasia differentially expressed
GGACUCCAGGGGAUGGAGAAUGGAAGGCAGCAGAUGUUUGUUGACUUCUUGCUCUAUAUCGGGCACUGUGCUAGAUACCAUACACGCCAUCAACAUUUAGGACAGUAUGGUCAGAGCAAUUUGAUUUUUAUAUUACAGUUGAGGAAAAGAGCUCACAAGAGGUUAAAUUACUUGCUUAAAACUCACAAAUUUAGUAUAUGUCAGAUCCAGGACUAGAACUCAAGCCCAUCUAACUUCAGAGCCUAUGCUAUUUUCCUGUAACAUAAACAUACAAACAAAGGAGAAUGAAAGCUGUCUCUUGUAGAUAGGAUAUUUUCAGCCGUCAUCACCAUGGACUCUUUGAAAUGUACUACUUCAGAAAAGCCACAGUGACUCCCUCUGGGCCUCACCCACCUGAGAUGACAUCACGACGCAAAUCUAGGACUUACGCUCUUCAUACGGAUGGAAUGGUUGGUUCACUUGGCUUUCAGAGUGCAGACAAGCCAUUCAGUGGAGGGCAUGCCUCAGCCUGCACUCUUCUGACUCAUGACAUGACUUCUCCAUGGAGAGCCAGGAUUUUUCUCAAGUGUAACAAUAUUAAUUAUCAAGUCACUUUAAAACA